rnacentral:ncRNA from 1 species
CAGAAAGCGAAGAACGGGAUUAGUAGAUAGAAUGAGUGCUUCAGAGAGGAGACGGUUGGUGUGAGUCUCCGCAGGAAUCUAUAGAACCGGCCCGGGAGCUGCUGUAUGAAAAUACAGCGUAGAGCCUGCGUUAAAGGCGAAGUGAGUGGAUGAUGUAUGACAGAUACAUUAUUAAUUAGGGUGGUACCGCCGAGACAUUCGGUCCCUAUC